CACACAGCAAACCUCCUCCAUUUUCUGGCUGUACGUUCAAUUUGAAUACAAAUGGUUUGAUGCCUCUCCCUCCAUUCGGACACAGCACACUAUACCUACAGAGUAAACAGACUGGAUUUCAGACGACAAAAGCUGAUCCAGCAGUACCCCAGAGCCAACAACAUCCUCGGAGUCUGACUGCUUUCAGAGCGACUGAAUGACUAAAGUGUUUCAGGCUUAACCCCGUCUCUUCCUGAACUCUGUGGACCCAGUUGCGGUGGGACAGUGCCAAGAAAUGUGAACAAUGCCAGUGAGCUCAGCGUUGGGUUAAAUGAGCCAUUCAGAGGACGGACGCAGUUAAAAUUGAAGAUCAGAGCUUUGUUCACAAUGUGAUGCAACACAAUACACUCUUUUGUAGGGUUUUAUAUGAGUAAUUAAGGUUUUCUUCGCUAUGAAUUUAAUUACUUUUGAUAGACUGUCUAUAAAAGGCUAGAGAAAAGAAUGAAGUGUAGGUUGGAGCUAAUAAAUCUUUGUUUUUCAUAUUUGAACAGCUGUCAGAAACAUUUCUGCAAACGUUUUCUUCAGGUUUUUAAGAAAUCCAUGCAGUGACCGUUGUAAACCUGUCUGUUCGGAAUGUUCUCUUCUCUCGUCCUGUAUAAAUGCUGUGGAGCUACCUCACUAUUAUUCCUUGUCAUUAGGGAGUUCUCCUUAAA